rnacentral:lncRNA from 1 species
CUGUUGAAGGCGGCGGCUAGUGGUUUUCUUCUGCUUAGGGUGUCUGUUAUUUUUUUUGUUUUUUGGGUUAGGUUUAGUUUGGGCUUAGGUUUAGUUUAUUGGGUUUGUUUAUUUACUUGGGCCCGGGCAUUAUUGGGCUUGUACAGCUACCCCUCUUUGCUCAUUGUCGUGUAACGGGAAUAGAACAAAGACUAAAAGCCUAAUUGUGCCCGGUCUUACUGAGCCUCGCCUUCUUCAGUACUUUUCUUCUUCAAGUAACCACAUUCCCUCCUACUGC